rnacentral:rRNA from 1 species
ACGCUCGACACCUACGGAGGCAGCAGUGGGGAAUAUUGCACAAUGGGGGAAACCCUGAUGCAGCGACGCCGCGUGAGCGAAGAAGUAUUUCGGUAUGUAAAGCUCUAUCAGCAGGGAAGAUCAUGACGGUACCUGACUAAGAAGCUCCGGCUAAAUACGUGCCAGCAGCCGCGGUAAUCUGAGCGGGCUGGCAAGGC